UACGUAGGGUGCGAGCGUUAAUCGGAAUUACUGGGCGUAAAGCGUGCGCAGGCGGUGAUGUAAGUCGGGCGUGAAAUCCCCAGGCUCAACCUGGGAACUGCACUCGAAACUGCGUUUCUUGAGUAUCGGAGAGGAAAGCGGAAUUCCUGGUGUAGAGGUGAAAUUCGUAGAUAUCAGGAGGAACACCAGUGGCGAAGGCGGCUUUCUGGACGGUAACUGACGCUGAGGCGCGAAAGCGUGGGGAGCAAACAGG
rnacentral:rRNA from 1 species